AGUGAACGCUGGCGGUAGGCCUAACACAUGCAAGUCGAACGGCAGCACAGUAAGAGCUUGCUCUUACGGGUGGCGAGUGGCGGACGGGUGAGGAAUACAUCGGAAUCUACUUUUUCGUGGGGGAUAACGUAGGGAAACUUACGCUAAUACCGCAUACGACCUACGGGUGAAAGCAGGGGAUCUUCGGACCUUGCGCGAUUGAAUGAGCCGAUGUCGGAUUAGCUAGUUGGCGGGGUAAAGGCCCACCAAGGCGACGAUCCGUAGCUGGUCUGAGAGGAUGAUCAGCCACACUGGAACUGAGACACGGUCCAGACUCCUACGGGAGGCACCAGUGGGGAAUAUUGGACAAUGGGCGCAAGCCUGAUCCAGCCAUACCGCGUGGGUGAAGAAGGCCUUCGGGUUGUAAAGCCCUUUUGUUGGGAAAGAAAAGCAGCAGGUUAAUACCCCGCUGCUCUGACGGUACCCAAAGAAUAAGCACCGGCUAACUUCGUG
rnacentral:rRNA from 1 species